UACGUAGGGUGCAAGCGUUGUCCGGAAUUAUUGGGCGUAAAGAGCUCGUAGGCGGUCUGUUGCGUCCGCUGUGAAAACUCGGGGCUUAACCCCGAGCCUGCAGUGGAUACGGGCAGACUAGAGGUAGGUAGGGGAGAAUGGAAUUCCCGGUGUAGCGGUGAAAUGCGCAGAUAUCAGGAAGAACACCCGUGGCUAAGGCGGCUCUCUAGUACGGUACUGACGCUGAGACGCGAAAACGUGGGGAGCGAACAGG
rnacentral:rRNA from 1 species